rnacentral:rRNA from 1 species
GAAUUUUGGACAAUGGGCGAAAGCCUGAUCCAGCAAUGCCGCGUGCAGGAUGAAGGCCUUCGGGUUGUAAACUGCUUUUGUACGGGACGAAAAGCUUUGGGUUAAUACCCUGGUGUCAUGACGGUACCGGAAGAAUAAGCACCGGACAACUACGUGCCAGCCGCGGCGGGAAAACGCAGGGUGCAAGCGUUAAUCGGAAUUACUGGGCGUAGAGCGUGCGCAGGCGGUUUUGUAAGACAGAGGUGAAAUCCCCGGGCUCAACCUGGGAACUGCCUUUGUGACUGCAAGGCUAGAGUACGGCAGAGGGGGGUGGAAUUCCGCGUGUAGCAGUGAAAUGCGUAGAUAUGCGGAGGAACACCGAUGGCGAAGGCAACCCCCUGGGCCUGUACUGACGCUCAUGCACGAAGGCGUGGGGAGCAAACA